CUUUAAUUUCAUGAUUGAAACUUUCAUGUUUUGUUUAUGUUGUGGCAUCAUAAAAAAAUUAGGCAAAAAUACUUUUUUUUAUUUAUUUUUUAUAAUAUUCCAUUUCUAAUUAGUCAAAUUGUGUUUAAAAACAACAACAAUUUGUUCAAAUUCAAAGUAUGAAUAUAUUGUUUAAUUUUGUGCAGACACUAGUAAUUUUGUGAAUCACCGUAACAGUAUAGAAAUUAUUCUUCAAUUUAUUCAACUUGUUGUGACGUUUGAAAGUAAAGUAAAUAAAAUUUAUCAACAGAUUAUUUGAGAAGAUGUAUAAUUUCUAAUUAUAAUGAUUUUUAACACAUAUUUUUUUUAUGUUCUUUUUUUUUUUGGUGUGUCGAUUACCGUUUUUUUUUUUUUUUUUUUUUGAUGGUAAAACCAUGGAUAAUUUUCAAAAGGGAAAAUAAUAGAUUGCAAAUAUUUGGGAUACAUUGAAUGCUGUAAUUAGCUUUAACAUAACAAAGGAGUCAAUUAAACUUUUGUCAUUUAACUUUCUGUAAAAACGGUAGCACUAUCUCUCUAUAUAUACAGUAUAUAUUUUGAUCUGUCAUUUCCCAUUUCUAAUUCACUGUAUGUAUGUAGGAGACACACCAAUGCUAGCUAAAUUAGCCUUAGCAAAACAAAAGUCAGCAAAAAUUGCUCCAAAAAUUUUCAAAUUUCAUAUCCAUCGCACAAUGUUAAUAAAUACAACAUAUAAUUUGAGAUGUGCUGACAAUGAGACUAAAAAUCUUCAAAAAUAAUGCAAAGCAGUAAUGUAGUAUUAACAUUAUGGCAUCAAAUAUACUGUCAAAACUUCUACUAUAUGCUCAAAUACAGAGCCCUGGUGCCUUCUGGGAACUAGGCUUUUACUGGACUAGGUGAAGUCUUUUGAAGUUUCUUAGUGUCUGGUGAUGAACCAUGAACAGGAAGGUUACAAGUCUAUCUUUAAACAGAAACGAUUCCUCCAGGUUGCUUUUAUAUAUAAUAUUUUGUCUUUUCCGUUUGCCUCCAGACGUAUUUUAAUGGUUCUCAUUGUCUGCAUCACGUGGCUGGCAUUAAUCAUGGAAAUUCAGAGGGUUGUCUCUAUUGCGGAAUCCUUCGGAACAAAAGCUGAGAUACAGCAGUGUGCUUAAAUUAUAAUUAAGGAAUGUCUAAUAUUGUUUUUUUUUUUUUCUUUUUUUUUUUGCUGUGUUGAUUUUGCUCCCUGCUGAAGUUGAAGUAUUGCACAUCUCUGAUGCAAUCUCAUCCAGUCGACAGAGAUGAAUCCGAGAGAGAGAGACUGAGGUGAAGUCACCUCUAUAGCUAAUUAAUCUGCCGUACUGCUGUAUUGGCAUGUCCAGCUUUGAUUAAAUAAUUACCUAAGCACUAUAAGCUGCUCUGAUUAAGUCAUAAUCCUGAGUGAGCUGUUACAAAAUCGGUCACUAUGAGUCUAUCGUGCUGGAUGAUGAACUCAUUGUUUGAGGCUCAGAGAGUCUUCUGCCACAGCUGACUGAAUUCCAGAGAUGACUUUUCUCUUUAUAUGUAGUGUUUUAUAUCUUUCUUUCUCUCUCUCUCUCUCUCUCCCAGUUCAUUCUUUCUCCCUCUCUUUCUCUCUCAGCAGCACCUGUCACUAAGGUCAUACAUACAUUCAUCGUGUGUACUGAGCACGCUCCCAAUGACCCCCUGACAGGUACGAGCGGGAGCUUGGCAGGAGAAUGGAAGAACCCAGAGCAGCAUUACAUCUCGGGUGAUGUGCCCUCUCUGUUGGUACCUGUCUGCUCCCACACAUUCCAAAGAGCACAACACAUCUUUCUCAGGAAGGAGUAAUUUUCUCCUCAGGAAGUAAGGUGUGUCUGGAGAGCGAGCUGUCUCUGGCUGGGAAGGAACAGGGAGCGAGAGGUCAGGGGGCAUUGAAACAAGGUGGACAAUAUAUCAUUGAGAAGAGAAGUUAUAUUCAAAUGUGUCCUGUUUAGGGGUCAGCGGAUGUGGGCUUUACAAUGGUCAAUGACAAAACUUUAAUUAUAGGCUGUAGACCAAUGUUUAUAAUACAAAUUAGUUCAUGCAAAUGAAAUAACUGUGAAAUCCAGAAUAAUUAAAAUGUAUAUUUUUUUACAUUAUUUUAAUUAAUUAUUGUUUAUAAUUAUUUAAAUUAUAGAUUAUAGUAAAAAAAAAUGUACACGGUAACUAAAUUCAAAUUUAACCCCAUUUUUAUGCAACAUUUUACAUCUAAAUAUUAUACAAAUAUAUCAACCUGGACUUCACAAUAAAUGUAAAAAUUAAAAUAAUAAGAAUACCAAAUUGUUUAUUAUUCAAUGACAAUGUAACCUCUAUAUUUUAAAUAACAUAAAAAAGUUGAAAAAAUUAGGAAAACCCAAAUCUGUAACAAAUAACAUCAGAAUAAGGCAUCUACUACAUCAACUUUGUUUCCCCUGUCCUAAAAAUGUAAAAUGAAAUGAAUGUAUUUACAGUAUAUUAUCACCAAUGGCCUGUCUAUCACUAGUCGUGCUGUUUAAAAACUAAGCUUUUUUUGAAGGGGAAAUCCUCGCUCAAAUCAAAGUAACACAUUGUACUAUAACUGAUGAGAUUCCAUCAGAUCUGUGUUAAAAGCUUUAGGCAAUCUUUAUGAACUCUCAGAGAGCUGCCAGGCAUAUAAUUAAAAUCAUUUCUAUAAAAGUCAAUUAGGGCUCUUACCCGCUCAUUGUUAAAAGCAGGCUUGUGGCACAGCCUCCAGGGAUAAAUGGAUUGGAGGGAGUCGGACACUCAGUUGGGUUUGGGACGAUGGGAUCAGAGGUAGUCAUUCAUCACUCACCAUCUUACAUGGAAGUUGUGACAGGCAGAGGUCAAGCCAAUAUGGCAGCAGUGAGAAAGAUGGAUGCCUUUAAUUUGGGUAAUGAAGAGUUAACUAUCUUGGGGAAAGUAGGAUGGCAUUAAAUAGGAAAGCUGUCGGCAUCAAAGAAAGUCUUAUUUAAUUCCUCUCGUUUAAUGGAAGACAUCGAGAACACAAUCCAUGAUUGACAACGCAGCCCCCAGACAUAAUUCCCCAUAGACACAUCACUUAGACUCUAUCCCUUGUUAAUCUCAAAUAUAAUGAAUUGCAAAAGUAAGGUUAAACUGCCAAUGUGAAUUCAUUAUCACUAAUAGAUUAGUUCAUAGAUGAUUUACAGUGUAUGGGGAUGGGAUUUCAUUAACAUGGAAUCGCUUUGAUUUAGCUGGGAUUUUGCUGGCCUUUUCUGGACCAUCAAUCUCGCCGCAGUGGUCAUUGUCCCUCUUCGGGUGACCUCUACACUUUAUUACUCGGCUGAGAGAUGAAUAUUUCCGGUGGCUGAUGACCUGCUAGUGAAACAGAAUGAUUAUUGUGUUUUUCAUUGCAAGUACAAGACUCCAUUUAUCUGUUCUAGUGGAAUAAUAGGAAAAGAGAGCUGUCUGUCAAAUGUAUCCUUGACCCUGUGAGUUCUUACGACUGACUUUAUGGCUACCUUCAGCAAAGAUAACCUCGGCUGUAGUCCUAAUAAUCGCCGAACAAAGACAUUUUAAUAGCCUCACCUACAGAAAAGAAUUUAAAUAUUAUGUUAGGUGAAUGCCUAUAGUCCUGUCGUGUCCUCUGAGCUCUUUCUUUGUAAGUUUUGGUGGAUGGAACUCCAGGAGAAGUCAUUAUAAGGAAACGUUGGCUAUGUGUUCCUUUUUUAGACAAGUAAGUUGUGUCUAGAUGAUUUUAAUGUUUGACUUUCCUUUUAUCGCCCUACUUUUAGGUCAGAGCUUUUAAUGGCUUUGACUUUGUUUGCUUUUUGUUUAAAUGAUCAAAGUUGCGGUUGUAUGAGGAGGGUAAUGCUCUCCUAACAAAAAUAGCUAAGUGUCGUCGUGUCCCUUGAGAAGGUUGGAGGAGUGGUAGACAGAUAUAAUUAAACUGAAAAUUGUGCUCUGAUGGUUUACGUCUAACAUUAAAGUCACAAUUCUAGAUCAAUAUCUGAAAAUGAUGAGAAACAAAUUGAGUUUGCUUAUAAAGAUCUUUCAGCGACUUUCAAAGUCAACACAUACAGUGCUUUUCAAAGCUGUAAUUAUUUUUUAAUUUGCAGGGCACCUUUGACAACUAGGGAACAAAACAGGAACUGAACCGAAGUAAUUUAUUUUCCUUUUCAACAAAUAGUCAAUGGAACAAGACUCUUAACCUGUAGAAACUGUUGAUUGACAACCAUCAGGUAUAUGAUAUGAGAUGUUUGUGGUUUAUUUUACAUUAGGUUUUCAGUUUUUGGAGCCUUGUUGCAAAAAUGUUAAACUUAAAACCUUUUUGUGUGUGUGUUUAUUUUAUAUAUUUAUAAAACAUUGUGAAUUUGUAACACAUUUAUACAGUGUAGGUUUAUUAACUUAAGUGUUUUGCAUUUAGCCUAAAUUAAUUCAGUAUGGGCUUGCUAGUUUGAGACAAAAUAUUGGUUUGUAGUUAUUCCUAAAGCCAUAAAUCCAAGAAAAGUGCUUAUUUAAUAAUUUAUUUCAAUACGUUUGGUAACAGGGUUGAACUUGAACUGUAGAAAGAGUACAAUACAUAAAUAUUUUAUGUCUUUAAAUCUACUUCCAUGUCCAUUAAUUACAUGUUAAUUUAAUAGUUUGUCUAACUCGUCUAAUAGUAAUGUUAGGUAAACUAUAAAAUAUAUUUCAGCAAAACAUAUGGGAUUUGAGCCCUAAAUGUGCUUUUAAAAAAAGUAAUGGGACACUGAUUUUUUACUCUAUUCAUGGAAAGUGCCACAGAAAAACACAUUAUCACCUAACUACGGCCUGAAGACAUGUGUCUCUCAAUCAGAAGAACAUUCCCACAUGCUUGAAAAAAAACCUUCAGAGCGAAACCCGGAUAAUAAGCAAAUGAAAACUCAAACAUUUCUUUGGUGCAGAUGUUUAUUGCCCUUUUUUUCCAGGAAGACAGCUGCCAGCACCAACUAAAAGCUCCUGGGUCAUUACUCUAUUAAACAGAGCCAUGGCCACAUUGAACAGAUUUACUGUGAAAACACGCUCACUUUUAAACAAUUUCCGCCCUUGCUUCUCAGAAUGAUCAAAAGUGCUGAAGCUGAUCCCUUUUCCCUUGUUUUUUUUUUUUUUUUAAAGAUGUCUGCUCUACAAAACCUUCUCAUGUGUUUCCAGUCUAAA
rnacentral:lncRNA from 1 species